rnacentral:rRNA from 1 species
CGGCGGACGGGUGAGUAACGCGUGGGUAACCUGCCUCAUACAGGGGGAUAACAGUUAGAAAUGGCUGCUAAUACCGCAUAAGACCACAGCACCGCAUGGUGCAGGGGUAAAAACUCCGGUGGUAUGAGAUGGACCCGCGUCUGAUUAGGUAGUUGGUGGGGUAACGGCCUACCAAGCCGACGAUCAGUAGCCGACCUGAGAGGGUGACCGGCCACAUUGGGACUGAGACACGGCCCAG